UACGUAGGGUCCGAGCGUUGUCCGGAAUUACUGGGCGUAAAGAGCUCGUAGGUGGUUUGUCGCGUUGUUCGUGAAAACUCACAGCUCAACUGUGGGCGUGCGGGCGAUACGGGCAGACUUGAGUACUGCAGGGGAGACUGGAAUUCCUGGUGUAGCGGUGAAAUGCGCAGAUAUCAGGAAGAACACCGGUGGCGAAGGCGGCUCUCUGGGCCUUACCUGACGCUGAGGAGCGAAAGCGUGGGUAGCGAACAGG
rnacentral:rRNA from 1 species